AAAUUGAAGAGUUUGAUCAUGGCUCAGAUUGAACGCUGGCGGCAGGCCUAACACAUGCAAGUCGAACGGUAACAGGAAGCAGCUUGCUGCUUUGCUGACGAGUGGCGGACGGGUGAGUAAUGUCUGGGAAACUGCCUGAUGGAGGGGGAUAACUACUGGAAACGGUGGCUAAUACCGCAUAAUGUCGCAAGACCAAAGAGGGGGACCUUCGGGCCUCUUGCCAUCAGAUGUGCCCAGAUGGGAUUAGCUUGUUGGUGAGGUAACGGCUCACCAAGGCGACGAUCCCUAGCUGGUCUGAGAGGAUGACCAGCCACACUGGAACUGAGACACGGUCCAGACUCCUACGGGAGGCAGCAGUGGGGAAUAUUGCACAAUGGGCGCAAGCCUGAUGCAGCCAUGCCGCGUGUAUGAAGAAGGCCUUCGGGUUGUAAAGUACUUUCAGCGGGGAGGAAGGUGUUGUGGUUAAUAACCGCAGCAAUUGACGUUACCCGCAGAAGAAGCACCGGCUAACUCCGUGCCAGCAGCCGCGGUAAUACGGAGGGUGCAAGCGUUAAUCGGAAUUACUGGGCGUAAAGCGCACGCAGGCGGUCUGUCAAGUCGGAUGUGAAAUCCCCGGGCUCAACCUGGGAACUGCAUUCGAAACUGGCAGGCUUGAGUCUUGUAGAGGGGGGUAGAAUUCCAGGUGUAGCGGUGAAAUGCGUAGAGAUCUGGAGGAAUACCGGUGGCGAAGGCGGCCCCCUGGACAAAGACUGACGCUCAGGUGCGAAAGCGUGGGGAGCAAACAGGAUUAGAUACCCUGGUAGUCCACGCCGUAAACGAUGUCUACUUGGAGGUUGUGCCCUUGAGGCGUGGCUUCCGGAGCUAACGCGUUAAGUAGACCGCCUGGGGAGUACGGCCGCAAGGUUAAAACUCAAAUGAAUUGACGGGGGCCCGCACAAGCGGUGGAGCAUGUGGUUUAAUUCGAUGCAACGCGAAGAACCUUACCUGGUCUUGACAUCCACGGAAGUUUUCAGAGAUGAGAAUGUGCCUUCGGGAACCGUGAGACAGGUGCUGCAUGGCUGUCGUCAGCUCGUGUUGUGAAAUGUUGGGUUAAGUCCCGCAACGAGCGCAACCCUUAUCCUUUGUUGCCAGCGGUCCGGCCGGGAACUCAAAGGAGACUGCCAGUGAUAAACUGGAGGAAGGUGGGGAUGACGUCAAGUCAUCAUGGCCCUUACGACCAGGGCUACACACGUGCUACAAUGGCGCAUACAAAGAGAAGCGACCUCGCGAGAGCAAGCGGACCUCAUAAAGUGCGUCGUAGUCCGGAUUGGAGUCUGCAACUCGACUCCAUGAAGUCGGAAUCGCUAGUAAUCGUGGAUCAGAAUGCCACGGUGAAUACGUUCCCGGGCCUUGUACACACCGCCCGUCACACCAUGGGAGUGGGUUGCAAAAGAAGUAGGUAGCUUAACCUUCGGGAGGGCGCUUACCACUUUGUGAUUCAUGACUGGGGUGAAGUCGUAACAAGGUAACCGUAGGGGAACCUGCGGUUGGAUCACCUCCUUACCUUAAAGAAGC
rnacentral:rRNA from 4 species